rnacentral:rRNA from 1 species
GAUGAACGCUGGCGGCGUGCCUAAUACAUGCAAGUCGAGCGAACAGACGAGGAGCUUGCUCCUCUGACGUUAGCGGCGGACGGGUGAGUAACACGUGGAUAACCUACCUAUAAGACUGGGAUAACUUCGGGAAACCGGAGCUAAUACCGGAUAAUAUAUUGAACCGCAUGGUUCAAUAGUGAAAGACGGUUUUGCUGUCACUUAUAGAUGGAUCCGCGCCGCAUUAGCUAGUUGGUAAGGUAACGGCUUACCAAGGCAACGAAGCGUAGCCGACCUGAGAGGGUGAUCGGCCACACUGGAACUGAGACACGGUCCAGACUCCUACGGGAGGCAGCAGUAGGGAAUCUUCCGCAAUGGGCGAAAGCUUGACGGAGCAACGCCGCGUGAGUUAUGAAGGUCUUCGGAUCGUAAAACUCUGUUAUUAGGGAAGAACAAAUGUGUAAGUAACUAUGCACGUCUUGACGGUACCUAAUCAGAAAGCCACGGCUAACUACGUG